rnacentral:ncRNA from 1 species
UUCACGGAGAGUUUGAUCCUGGCUCAGGACGAACGCUGGCGGCGUGCUUAACACAUGCAAGUCGAACGAUGAAG